ensembl:lncRNA
AGAGAGGGGAGAGAUGGGAAGAGAGAGGACAGAAAGAGAGGGAAGGAGAGAGUGGAGAGACAGUAGAGGGGAAGAGAGAGGACAGAAGGAAGGAGGGAAGGAGAGAGUAGAGAGAGGGGAAGGAGAGAGUAGAGAGACAGUAGAGGGGAAGAGAGAGGACAGAAGGAGAGGGAAGGAGAGAGUAGAGAGAAGGAAGGAGAGAGGACAGAAGGAGAGGGGAAGAGAGAGGACAGAAAGAGAGGGAAGGAGAGAGUAGAGAGAGGGGAAGAGAGAGGACAGAAGGAGAGGGAAGAGGGGUAGAGAGAGGACAAAGAACAGGAGAGAGUAGACACCUCCGAGGUAGAUAACAGGUAUAUACUAAUAUACUAUACUUGGCCUGUAUCAUUCUAACACGUUGAUUUGUCUCUUAAUAAGACCUGUUCUAGUGCCAAUGGACCUGCUAUUCAGUGGAAGGCAGGAAAAGAGAAGUAUCUUUCUGAAACACCUUCAAGGACAGCAGAGAAUAACAGGAAAGGAGCUGGGAGAGGAUGUGUAUUCACCCCCCUCUCUGUGUCCCCUACAUGAGAUUACAGGACCUAAAACGACUUCAUACAAGUACAAAGUUCUGUUCUGUGUUCCCAGCUUAUUUAUUUAGGCAGAGCAAACAGUUUGAUAAAAAAUAUGCACUGUAGUCACAGGUAUGCACUGUAGUCACAUGUAUGCACUGUAGUCACAGGUAUGCACUGUAGUCACAUGUAUGCACUGUAGUCACAGGUAUGCACUGUAGUCACAGGUAUGCACUGUAGUCACAUGUAUGCACUGUAGUCACAUGUAUGCACUGUAGUCACAUGUAUGCACUGUAGUCACAGGUAUGCACUGUAGUCA